rnacentral:rRNA from 1 species
CAGUCGCCACGGUAAUACGUAGGGUGCGAGCGUUAAUCGGAAUUACUGGGCGUAAAGCGUGCGCAGGCGGUUUUGUAAGACAGGCGUGAAAUCCCCGGGCUCAACCUGGGAAUGGCGCUUGUGACUGCAAAGCUAGAGUGCGGCAGAGGGGGAUGGAAUUCCGCGUGUAGCAGUGAAAUGCGUAGAUAUGCGGAGGAACACCGAUGGCGAAGGCAAUCCCCUGGGCCUGCACUGACGCUCAUGCACGAAAGCGUGGGGAGCAAACAGGAUUAGAUACCCCUGUAGUCCCUGUCUCUUAUAC